CCUACGGGGCGCAGCAGUCGAGAAUCAUUCACAAUGGGGGAAACCCUGAUGGUGCGACGCCGCGUGGGGGAAUGAAGGUCUUCGGAUUGUAAACCCCUGUCAUGUGGGAGCAAAUUAAAAAGAUAGUACCCCACGAGGAAGAGACGGCUAACUCUGUGCCAGCAGCCGCGGUAUACAGAGGUCUCCAGCGUUGUUCGGAAUCACUGGGCGUAAAGCGUGCGUAGGCUGUUUCGUAAGUCGUGUGUGAAAGGCGCGGGCCCAACCCGCGGACGGUACAUGAUACUGCGAGACUAGAGUAAUGGAGGGGGAACCGGAAUUCUCGGUGUAGCAGUGAAAUGCGUAGAUAUCGAGAGGAACACUCGUGGCGAAGGCGGGUUCCUGGACAUUAACUGACGCUGAGGCACGAAGGCCAGGGGAGCGAAAGGGAUUAGAUACCCCGGUAGUC
rnacentral:rRNA from 1 species